GAUUCUGCCCUACGGGGAAGGAUGAGAAGCUUCGACCAAGGUUCGACUCGAGCGUAGCGAGAGAACGUUGCCGCAGGCAACGGCCCGAAGGGCGAGGCGCUUGAGCGCCGAGUUAUCCUUCCCCCACCACCA
rnacentral:sRNA from 1 species